rnacentral:rRNA from 1 species
GUGGGGAAUUUUGGACAAUGGGCGCAAGCCUGAUCCAGCAAUGCCGCGUGUGUGAAGAAGGCCUUCGGGUUGUAAAGCACUUUUGUCCGGAAAGAAAACUUCCUGGUUAAUACCCGGGGAGGAUGACGGUACCGGAAGAAUAAGCACCGGCUAACUACGUGCCAGCAGCCGCGGUAAUACGUAGGGUGCAAGCGUUAAUCGGAAUUACUGGGCGUAAAGCGUGCGCAGGCGGUUCGUUAAGACAGAUGUGAAAUCCCCGGGCUUAACCUGGGAACUGCAUUUGUGACUGGCGGACUCGAGUAUGGCAGAGGGGGGUAGAAUUCCACGUGUAGCAGUGAAAUGCGUAGAGAUGUGGAGGAAUACCGAUGGCGAAGGCAGCCCCCUGGGCCAAUACUGACGCUCAUGCACGAAAGCGUGGGGAGCAAACAGGAUUAGAUACCCUGGUAGUCCACGCCCUAAACGAUGUCAACUGGUUGUCGGGCCUUCAUUGGCUUGGUAACGUAGCUAACGCGUGAAGUUGACCGCCUGGGGAGUACGGUCGCAAGAUUAAAACUCAAAGGAAUUGACGGGGACCCGCACAAGCGGUGGAUGAUGUGGAUUAAUUCGAUGCAACGCGAAAAACCUUACCUACCCUUGACAUGUACGGAAUCCUGCUGAGAGGUGGGAGUGCCCGAAAGGGAGCC